rnacentral:rRNA from 1 species
UACGUAGGGCGCGAGCGUUAAUCGGAAUUACUGGGCGUAAAGCGUGCGUAGGCGGUUCCUCAAGUCCGUUGUGAAAGCCCCGGGCUCAACCUGGGAAUGGCAGUGGAAACUAGGGGACUGGAAUCUGGCAGAGGGGGGUGGAAUGCCGCGUGUAGCAGUGAAAUGCGUAGAGAUGCGGCGGAACACCGAUGGCGAAGGCAGCCCCCUGGGCUGAGAUUGACGCUCAGGCACGAAAGCGUGGGGAGCAAACAGG